UGAUAACCUGAAGUAGACGAAUGUAAGAAGAACACAAAGGAUGCAUACACAUGAUUUCAGUGUUGUUAGGAAUAAGCAACUUGUAUUCCCAUGAGGCCAUAGGCCGAUAUAUAUACAUGUACAGGUGUGGUACAUAUGCAGGAAACCCCUUAUACUACAGGAUAAAUACAAAGGGGUAUACAUGACUUAUAUUAUAACUCUAACACCCCCCUCAAACUCAUGGUGGAGGAACAACACUGAGUUUGGAGAGAUAAAAGCCAUGUUGUGCUCGAGUCUGGGCCUUCGUCAGGAAAUCCGCCAACUGUAACUCGGAAGGCACAUACUGAAGAGCAACAACCUAAUCCUGCACAGCAGCGCGCACAUAGAAAGGAUCAACACCAAUAUGCUUGGUGAGCUCAUGCUUCACAGGAUCACGCGCAAUGCUAAUAGCACCUGUACUGUCAGAUAAGAGCAUAGUCGGUGUAGUAACAGAAACACCAAAGUCCUGAAGUAACCACCGUAACCAAGUCACCUCUGCCGUCAAAAGAGCCAUAGCUCGCAACUCAGCCUCAGCACUCGAACGGGAAACUGCAAUCUGUUUCUUCGUCUUCCAGGCAAUGAGAGAACCGCCAAGAAAAACACAGUAAGCAGAAAGCGAACGGCGAUCAGAAGGAUCACUAGCCCACGUAGCAUCCGCAUAGGCCUGAAGCUGUAAAGAACUGGAGCUAGGAAAGAAGAGACGGUGUGAGAUCGUGCCCCGAAGAUAUCGGAGAACACGAAGAAGAUGACUAUAAUGAACCGAUGUGGGAGCAGAAACAAACUGACUCAGAAUAUGAACCGGAUAAGAGAUGUCCGGACGAGUGACAGCUAGAUAGACAAGACUGCCAACGAGAUGACGAUAACGCGUCGGGUCAAGGAGAGGAUCACCAUCAGUAGCACGAAGGUGAACAUUGAGCUCCAUAGGAGUCUCAACAGUGCGUUCGUCAGAAAGAGCAGCACGAGCAAGAAGAUCCUGGAUAUACUUUUCCUGGGAUAUAAAAAAGCCAUCAGAGGCAGAAGAGACUUCAAUCCCAAGAAAAUAGCGAAGAGGUCCAAGAUCAGACAUAAGAAACUGCUCACUAAGACGGGCCUUGACAAAGGCAAUAUACUCGGGGUCAUCCCCAGUGAUGACCAUAUCAUCAACAUAGAGAAGAAGAAUAGUCCGGCCACGAGGAGAAAGAUGAAUAAACAAUGCGGGAUCAUGAACACUUGCUGAAAAACCAGCAGUAGUGACCACAGAAGCAAAACGCUCAAACCAGGCGCGAGGGGCUUGCUUAAGGCCAUAGAGAGAGCGACGAAGACGACACACCAUGCCAUCAGAAACAGAAUACUCAGGUGGUGGCUGCAUGUACACCUCCUCACGCAGCUCACCAUUAAGAAAGGCAUUCUUAACAUCAAGCUGAGAUAUAGACCAGUGGCGUGCAGAGGCAACAGCAAGAAGUGUACGAAUAGUGGUCAUAUGGGCCACAGGAGCAAAAGUCUCGUCAUAAUCACGACCAUGCUCCUGCUGAAAACCACGAGCCACGAGACGAGCUUUGUGACGCUCAAGAGAACCAUCGGAGCGAGUCUUAACCUUGUAGACCCACUUACAAGUGAUGGGACGGACUCCGGGAGGAAGAGAAACAAGAUCCCAGGUACCAGUGCGUUCAAGAGCAGCAAUCUCCUCUGCCAUCGCAAACUGCCAUUCAGGAUGAACAACAGCCUGACGGUAAGAAGUCGGCUCAAGAACAGCAGCACCAGCGGUGGGAAACCCAAAGUGAUCAAUAGGCGGACGAGGACGAGAACGCAAGCCAUAAGUAGGCUGAGAGGAAGAGGACGAAUCAUCCAAGGAAGCAUCCACAGGUCGUGAACGACGAGUGUAAUGCUGAGGAAGAGAUGGAACAAGAGAAGGAGGAAUCGCCAAGGGAGAAGCAGGGGGUGGCGACGAAGAAGUCACCGGAGAUGAAGGUGUAGAAUCCGGGGACAUGCUAGGUGAGGAAACCGGGGAAGAUGGUGGCGGUGAAUCGACGAGGGGUGGAGAAGCAGAGAGAGUGGGACGAAUAGGCACAGGCGCGACAGGAGUGAUAGGGGAGUCAGGAAAAGUGAGAAAAGAGAUAUCCUCCACGAAAAAGACCGAGGAAGAUGAGCGUGGAUAAAAAGGACGAGACUCAUCAAAAGUCACAUCUCGAGAGAUACGCAUCCGACGACCGACAGGAUCCCAACAACGAUAGCCCUUAUGCUCAUCACUGUAGCCUAAGAAGACACACUCAACAGACUGAGCGGUCAGUUUGGUGCGUUCGCGAGGGGCAAGAAGAACAUAGCAAACACAACCAAACAAGCGAAGCAUCGAAUAAUCGGGAGAGCGAUCAAACAGACGCUCAAAAGGAACACCACCCUGCAAAGCAGCAGAUGGCUGAAGGUUGAUGAGAUAGACAGAAGUGGAGAUAGCCUCGGCCCAAAAAUGAGGCGGAAGAGAGACGGCGAUCAUCAUAGCACGAGCCGUCUCAAGAAGGUGACGAUGCUUACGCUCAGACACACCAUUCUGAGCAUGAGCACCAGGACAAGAGAACUGGGCAAGAGUACCCUGCUCAGCAAGAACACCACGCAACAUCUUAGAGAUAUACUCACCAGCGGAGUCAGCACGAAAAACACGAAUGGGUGAAGAGAACUGAGUAUGAACCAUGGCAGCAAAACGCUUAUAAAUAGAUAACACCUCACUACGUGAAGUCAUGAAAUAAAGCCAUGUGUAACGAGAAAAAUCAUCGAUGAAAAUAAUAUAGUAUUUAUGACCACCUUUCGAAGUGAAAGGAGCCGGACCCCAUACAUCAGAAUGGACUAAAUCGAAAGGACGCUGAGACACUGACUCACUAUGAGAAUAUGGUAGCUGAAUCUGCUUGCCAAGACGACAACCCUGACACUCUAAAGAGACAUCUCCUGAGACAGACCCCAGAAGGCCUCGACGAACUAAAGACGAUAAUCGAGAACCACACAGAUGACCAAGUCGAUGAUGCCACUGCUUGAAGGAACCAGUAACAGAAGCGACAGCAGCGGAGGAACUGGCGAUGGUGGUGGCAGCGGAAGGAACAUGAAGCCAGUCCAACUCCCAAAGACCCUGAGAAUCACAGCGGCGAGGGCCAGCCCCAACCAGAGUGUGCGUGCAACGAUCCUGGACAGAAUAAGAGUCAACAUCAAGGAUGACACGACAACCAGAAUCAGUAAGUUGACCGGCAGAAAACAGAUUCAUGGUAAGUCGAGGAACAUGAGCAACAUCAGGAACAAAAUAAGGAGUAGAAAGAUGGCCUCUACUGGCAACAGAAAGUGGAGUACCAUCAGCAGUAAAGACAUGAACAGGAGAAUCCAGCGAGCGAAGAGAAGACAAAGCGGAAGAAUGAGAAGACAUAUGAAAAGAAGCUCCAGAAUCCAGAACCCAUGGGGAUGUACCUGACUGUGUAGAGGACGGGUGCUCAGUGCGGGAAGCAUCAGUCACAGAACCAGCAGUACCCGUCGAGGAAGAACCUGAAGCCGCAAGCAGACGCUUAAGUCUCAGAAUAUCUUGCUCGGUCAAAGCAAUGGCUGAAGCUGGCAAGGGAGAUGACGCAGUCCCUGAUGAUCGCGCCUUGCGCGGGUGUUUCCGCUUGGUGUAGCACUGGGACUCAAUAUGACCAUCAUUCUUGCAGUAGUCACAAUGUGAACGGGGGCGACCUGAGCCUCCAGAAGGAGUCGGCAAGAGCAGCGGAGCACUCGAGCGAGAAUGGGGCGGUGCAGCAGGUGGAGUGGAAGAAACCCGAGUAGCGAGCACAGAGGGAACCUCCAGCAAACCAGCACCACGUAGGCGAGUCUCCUCAGCACGAAUCUCUGAAAGCGCCUCCAUGAGAGAAAUACGACCACGAGCAAGCAACUGAGCACGCCGGGGCUCAAACUCCUUACGGAGCCGAGACAGGAACUCGUAGACGCGAUGAAACUCCAAAUCGGCCUGGACAGCCUGGCAGCAGGGGCAAGUACGACAACCAGCACUGCGGAGAGAAUCAAGUUGGCGCCAGAUAGCAGAACUCUGUGCAUAAAAGUCAUCAACAGUAGAGUCACCCUGCUGAAGAGCAUGCUCCUGACGAACCACAGAAAGGUAUAAGGCAUCACCAGAGGGCUCAUAGCGCUGACGAAGACAGGUCCACAUCUGGAAGACAGUAGGAAGACCCAAAAACUCAGACGCAAACUGAGGCAGAACACUAGCAGUGAGAACAGCUGCAGCACGAGCAUCAUCAUCAAGCCAUUGGGUGUAAACAGACAAAGCACCAUGAUACGUCUGAAGAGCCUCCUCAUAAGCCAAAGCCCUCUCAUCAUAGGCACGAUCAGCAGCCUCAUCAGCAACCUUAGCCGCAUCCUUGGCGGCCUGAUUAGCAUCCGGAGGAAGAACCAGUGGAGUCGGCGGAGUAGGGGCCACCGGAGGAACCGGACGUGGCGGACAGCAGACCUCGCCAGAAAGAACACCCCAGAGACGGAUGCCACGCAUGUGAAUGCGCAUGAAGCCAGCGAACUCGGUGUAGUUGGUACCAUCAAAGAUCACCGGACAGCGAGGAACAGCAACGUAGCCUGAUGCAGCAGACAUUUUUUUUUACAAAGAUCCGAAAAAACAGAGGUCGGACGAGGACGGCGGCUGGGAACGAAAUCCGGCGCAGCAGACCUCAGACAAUCGGGAGGAGAUGGACCUGGCGAUCCACACAGCAGGAGACGCGGCCGAGCAGCGCCUGGGCGGGAACGAGCUCCGGGCGGGAGGCGGGAUCGGCGGCCAGGCGGGAGCCUGAGCGGCGGCCUGGCGGGAGACGGCCUGGCGGGAACCUCCGGGCGGAGCGGCGGCCUGGCGGGAGCCUCCGGGCGGGAGCGGCGGCCUGGCGGGAGCGGCGACCUGGCGGGAGACGGCCUGGCGGGAACCUCCGGGCGGGAGCAGCGGCCUGGCGGGAGCCUCCGGGCGGGAGCUGCGUCCGGACGGGAGACGACAAGAAGAAGACGCGGCGGCGGCGAGAGAGGAUCGGAGCACGAGUUGCGCGUGCGAAAAAAGAAACCUAAAGCUCUAAUACCAUGUUAGGAAUAAGCAACUUGUAUUCCCAUGAGGCCAUAGGCCGAUAUGUAUACAUGUACAGGUGUGGUACAUAUGCAGGAAACCCCUUAUACUACAGGAUAAAUACAAAGGUGUAUACAUGACUUAUAUUAUAACUCUAACAAGUGUGACUACAAAUUAAAUCAUGGAAGUAGACAAAAAAAUGACACUAGCAUUGGGCUAAAAAAAUACAAGGUUGCAUGCACAGGGUACAGUUCAUAGGCAAAUUGAAAACUGGAGCUAGGCAAAAAGGUCUGACACUAGUAUUAUGCUCGAAUAACACAAGGGUUGCAUACACAUGACUCUGUUGUUAGGCAGAUUAAAAACUGGAGGUAGGCAAAAAUGUUGACACUGGUAUUAUGCUCGAAUAACACAAGAGUUGCAUACACAUGACUCUGUUGGUAGGCAGAUUAAAAACUAGAGGUAGGCAAAAACGUUGACACUGGCAUUAUGCUCGAAUAACACAAAGGGUUGCAUGCACAUGACUCUGUUUGUAGGCAAAUUAAAAACUGGAGGUAGGCAAAAACGUUGACACUAGUAUUAUACUCAAAUAACACAAGGUUGCAUGUUUGUACGCAGAUUAAACUCUGAAAGUAGGCGAAUAAAACAUGAUGUUUCAUAAACGGGGUCAAUUAUAUAGGCAAAUUAAAACCUGAAAGUAGGCGAAUAAAACAUGAUGUUUCAUACAAGGUUGCAUACACUGGUUGGGUUCAUAGGCAAAUUAAAAACUGAAGGUAGGCAAAGAAGUUCACACUGGCACUAAAAAUACAGGAAACCAUUUUUUAUCUCUAAAAAUUGAGCCUAUAUCCACUUAAUAGAUGUUCCGCAACAUUUGCAGUACUGCGUACUUUAUAUCCAAUAGAUGGCGGGCAUUUUAUGCAGUGUAUUUUUCCUACACACAAAAAUACAGUAGAUGGCGGCAUUUUUAUCCAGUAUGUACGGGAAGUAAAAACUGAAUAAUUCCCUCCGGAUAGCAGUAUUGCCUACUUAUAUUGAUGAUGUUCUAUUUGCUAGUUCCCCCUCCCCUAAAUGAUGUUCAGCUAACAUUAGAAACAGGGUUUGCCUACUGACACACUACUUUAUUGCCUGGGAGAUAUCCUUUUGUAUUGCUAGUAUUGCCUGACCCCAGAAAAUAUGUAGGUAUUUUUGCCUCCCUCCCCCCUAGCUUACGUCCCUCUCCUACAUUUCCUGAAAAAAAUAGCCUAUAUACAACGAAGUGUGCCUGCAUUGUACCUCCUGCAAUUUUCCCUACGUUUCCUAAGAAAAUAGACUACAUUGUACCUACACUUUCAUCUACACAAGCACCUUGUCUAUUGCUGAAAAAAAGGUUCUGCAUAAGUGCCCACCGUCUGUACAAUGAAUUGCCUACAUGAUGCGUCAAAAUGCUCAUAACUUCCUAAAAAACGUUGGUGCUGUUGUCAGCUAAGCAUCUUGCCCCAAAACCGUGAGGAAAAUCGUGUGCGUGCUGAUGCGCUAAAAAAGUCUAGUUGGAUUUCUUGAACACAGUAAUCGCGGGCUCGUGAGGUCCUCAAUGUGAGAAAUUGCACGCGCGGGGGUGAGAGAUUUUUCUGCAAGUGCUUGCGCGUAUCGAUUCCGGGGAUCCUGGCUGUGGAUUUCCUUCCCCUGUCUCCGGCAACCCUAGCAUCCCAUCCCCCUUCCCUCUUCGUCGACAAAAAUGAUGCCGCCGCGUGGGCGAAAUCCCCCUGCGCCCGUUCGCGAGACGGAAAAAUAGAGAGCUGCGUCACGCGAGUUACCUUCUUUUCCACGGAGAUGUAGCGGUUCGCCGCGCCCCGUUGUCCGCCUCCCCUUCGCGUCGCCGGCGGGUUCUCCUUCCUUCACCCUCCACUUCUUCCAUUGCGCUCGCGAGCCGCUCGAUCAAAACUGGUGGUGCUCGCCUCCCCCUGCAUGGUGGUCGCUGUCACCGGGACGGGCUCCCCUCGCCUUCCUCGCCGUCGUCGGGCGCUCGCCGACGAUGCCCCCUGGACCUGGAGUGGUGAGGAAAGGGGAACAGACAAGAACGAAUGGUUGGUGUGCGUUUUGGAGCUCUGUCUGCCUCCGCCGUGGUCAGACCUAUCCAUCCACGCGGCGUGAUCGAGGAUGA
rnacentral:lncRNA from 1 species